UACGUAGGGGGCAAGCGUUGUCCGGAAUCAUUGGGCGUAAAGAGCGUGUAGGCGGCUCGGUAAGUCCGCUGUGAAAGUCCAGGGCUCAACCCUGGAAAGCCGGUGGAUACUGUCGGGCUCGAGUCCGGAAGAGGCGAGUGGAAUUCCUGGUGUAGCGGUGGAAUGCGCAGAUAUCAGGAGGAACACCCGUAGCGAAGGCGGCACUCUGGGCCGAUACUGACACUGAGGAGCGAAAGCGUGGGGAGCGAACAGG
rnacentral:rRNA from 1 species